ACUGUUGUGUUUUGUAUUGUUAAGGCACUUUCAGCAACUGAAACGUGUUUCAACUAUAGCCCAAAUGCAUAUCAUUUUAAUCAGUAAAACUAAGAGUUGUGGUAAUGGAGAAAUUAGGGGCCGUUCACACCGAACACGUUUUUGCGUCUUGUCCGCGCUGUUUUCCCCUUGUUUUUCUACGUAAACGGGCUAGACGGACGUCUUUCACCCUUGUCUCGCGGUGUUUUCAGGCGUUUUUGGACGCGGAGUCCAAAAAAAUAAAUAAAAUAAAAAUAACUCAAACUGUUAAAACGCGUUUUGAGACACCUGUGUGUUCUGUUUCAUUCUUGGCGCUGCGUCUGGCUUUUUAGCGCAAGACGCGUUCGGUGUGAACCGCACCCAACAGAAGGCGAGUCUCGAGACGCGUUUUUAAAAGUUUAGGUUCUUUUUAAUCUAACACGCGACGUCUAAAAGACGCAGUGCUCCUGCGCGAGAUGCUAUACAUUUAUACGUUUGCUAUACACAACGGUCAAAGACGUCCGUCCAACGCGUAACUACACACACAAAUACAUUUAAAAACAGUGAAGGUGGACGCAAAAUGCUUUCGACCCCUUACACUAUGCCUAUCGAACGGGUGACUUCAUGGACGUGGUAAAGUGAAUGGAUGACAAAAGAUGUGUUGACAAGCGGACAGGAAAUUAUUCUUAUUUUACUAAACUCCAAACACAGAGUUGACUCAACGUAACAGCGAAUGAUAUUUAAUUUAAUUAAAAAAUCUAAAUAUUUGGCUGGCAGACAUAAAAGCCAAGGUUUUGGCGAAAUAAUACUGUACAAAGCUCUUUCUCUUGGCAGGUGACCGCAGUGAUGGAGAGUCCUUCGAAGAUUGACAGGCGGCAGGCGUGGGCGCUCAGUAGCCGCCGCAAGCUUACGGUAAGAGAGGCGGAACAACGCAGCUCUACAGUAGAAGAUCCUCACUCUCAUUUCUCCUUCCAAGAUGACGUCUUUCUGGAUGGAUACUCUGCAGGAAAGAUUGAAACCUGGCUCCAAGGUUGUGGGAAUGAAGCCAGUUCAGCAAAAACCAGACACCUGACAAUAGGUGCUUUGAAGACAGGUACCAGCUUUGAGGAUGAUCUGAGUCUGGGAGCAGAAGCAUUAUGUGCUGCAUCAGAUGUGCCACAGUACAGCAAACCUCAGCAGAAACUUAACUUGCCAUUGUUCAACAUGGGUCACAGUGUCGCAUCCACUGCCCUGUCGUCCACUACCAACAGGACUGCUUCCAGUGUGUCUGAGGUUCUCAAGAUGCGUUCCGAAGACGCAGAAGAGACUCUUUUCCAGCUGGGUUUUGGUUGUGAAGAGCCUCAGGUGACUACCCGUGUCCCAGUUCGCUUCUUCAACUUUUCAUCCCAGCUCAGAGGUAUCAACUUUCGGCUAUUCCUUGAAUCCCAACUCUCCAGGGUACGCCAGGAAGACCCCUGUCUUUCAUUAGCAAGUCGUUUCCAACAAGUAGAGGCAUUAACAGCGAUGGCCAAUGCCUUCUAUUCGUUGUACUCCCAUGUGUCCCGGACACCGCUUCAGAAGCUAGCUCCACCCCAGUUCACCUUCUCUUCACUAUUUGUGGAAAGAAUCAUGUCUCGAACCAGUGUCCGAAGUGAGCCACGUUCCCCUGUUGAAAGGCUAAAAGACACUAUCUCCAAGAUGUGCUUGUACACUGGAUCCCAUGGCUCAGACUCUGUCUCUCCUAGCAGUUCACCACAUAAACAAAACUGUAGUCUGUCACAUGCAGUUGAGAAAGGCGGGGAGAGUUCCGGGAAUGAUGAUGCCAGUAAACAAGAUACAAAUCUAUGCCAUCAAAUGGAAUUAGGUGAUUUGGAUUCAGACAUGGACUGGUAUAUAAGGGGCAAGAAAGAUCUUGAAGAGGCAUGUGAAGUAAAGACUGAAAGAAUGGAUUCUGAGAGAGUUACGGAUACAACAUCUGAGCCAACACAGCAUUCUAGAAGUGACAUAGUCAUGGAGUCCAAAGGUUGUACUUCUGUUCACUUGAAAAGCUCCAGCGUUACCGUGGAACCUGUUCCUAUCAUUACCCAUGAUAUCAUAUGCCCUCAGGUCGUGGAAUAUAUCAAUCAGGCACCUUAUCGCUGCCUACAAACAAAUAAUAUGGAUGCCAGUGACUUACCUUUUGCACAGCAGGUGACAAAUAAAUCUUCAAUAAGAAAGUCUAACACAAUACAUUUACCCAUCACAACUGCAGGUUUACCAAUCUGUAUCACACCACUAGAUAACCAGGUUGGGGCCCUGGGUAAUGCACUUCCUGGUAAUUGUCCCAGUGAUCUUUCUUCCGAGCUCACAGCCACCACACAAAAGUCAUUAUGUGAAAUCACAGGCACUGGAUGGGAGAACAAAAUCACCCUCGCCAACAGAGACAUACAGGAACUGUGUCCAUCCAACAUUUACAGAUACUUAAGCCCAACAAAACCACUUAACCUGAGCAAGUUCAGCCAAUGUCCCAAACAAGCCAACUCUUUUGAGCUGGAGGAGAACUUCUUAAACUACAAAGAGUUCUCAUCAAAAAAUCCUCCAGGUGCAGCAAUGACAGCUUUACAGAUCCAUGGCAUUCUAGCUGUCAGUUUGUCCAGAAACUUGGGUGACAUUUCACCCCAUACUUCCUGUAGCACUUGUCAUAGAUGUGGCUGUCUUGUUGGGUACUUCUUAUGCACCUUACAGUCUAGCUGAUCCCACAAAAGCUCAAUGGGGUUAAGAUCCAUAACACUCUUUUCCAAUUAUCUGUUGUCCAAUGUCUGUUUCUUUGCCCACUCUAACCUUUUCUUUUUCAAAAGUGGCUUUUUCUUUGCAAUUCUUCCCAUAAGGCCUGCAACCCUGAGUCUUCUCUUUACUGUUGUUCAUGAAACUGGUGUUGAGCGGGUAGAAUUCAAUGAAGCUGUCAGCUGAGGACAUGUGAGGUGUCUAUUUCUCAAACUGGAGACUCUGAUGUAUUUAUCCUCUUGUUUAGUUGUACAUCUGGCCUUCCACAUCUUUCUGUCUUGUUAGAGCCACCUUUGUAUGAAAUCUUCAGUUUUUUGGCAAUUUCAAGCACUGUAUAGCCUUCAUUCCUCAAAACAAUGAUUGACUGAUGAGUUUUUAGAGAAAGCCGUUUCUUUUUUUUCUUUUUUUUUGUGCCAUUUUUGACCAUAAGACAUGCCAGUCUAUUGCAUACUGUGGCAACUCAAAAACAAACACAAAGACAAUGUUAAGCUUCAUUUUACAAACCAAAUAGCUUUCAACUGUGUUUGAUAUAAUGUCAAGUGAUUUUCUAGAACCAAAUUAGCAAUUUAGCAUGAUUACUCAAGGAUAUGGUGUUGGAGUGAUGGCUGCUGAAAAUGGGGCAGGUCUAAAUUUGACCAAAAAUGACUUUUUUCAAAUAGUGAUGGUGUGUUUUUUACAUCAGUAAUGUCCUGACUAUACUUUGUGAUCAGUUGAAUGCCACUUUGGUGAAUUAAAAUACCAAUUUCCUUCCAAAACAGCAAAAUCUGUACAUUAUUCCAAACUUUUGGCCACCAGUGUGUGUAUGUGUAUAUGUAUAUAUAUAUAUACACACACAGUAAUGUGCAAAAUUCUUAGACACGUUUCACAAAAGCAUUUAUCUUAAGAUGGUUAUUUAUAUCUUCAGCUUUAGUGUGUCAAUAGGAAAUAUAAAUGUUAGAGUCCCAAACAUUACUUUUGCAAAUAGAAAAGAUUAGAAUAGGAGAACAGGGAGCCCUGCAACAGAUGUCAUGGCCCCAACAAAGCCCCCCACUGAACAUCGUGUCAGUCUGAGAUUACAUAAAGAGACAGAAGCAAUUAAAUAGAUAGAAGAACUGUGGCGAAUUCUCCAAGAAGCUUGGAACAUCCCAUCUGCCAACAACCAAGAAAAACUGUGUCCAGGUGUACCUAGGAGAAUUGGUGCUGUUUUAAAGGCAAAGGUGCACAGUGCAGAAGAAGAGGAAGCCAUUUCAUCAGAACUCUGUUCCACAGUCACAUCGUCUGUUUCAACACAGCAAUACAAAU